AUUACUUUUCUGGCCUUCAGUAAUUAAAGCAGACCUUAAAUGUGAGUUGUACAUAAUGAACAAUUGUGUAUCUUUGUUUAAGGUAAGUUUAUAUUUCCAUUAGUCAGCUAAUGCUUCCUCCAUGUCUGUUGCCUGUUGUGUUGAACUGAUAAAAUAUAGAAAUGUACAGUAACACUACACUACAUUUAUUUGAACUUUUACAAGUUGCUGACACAAGCUCUCAAGAUGACAUAAUAUAUUUAAAUUCUAAACUUGUGGGUUUCCCCCAAUAAUUAAAUACCAAGUAAAAAAUAGUAGCUAACUUAAUUGGUAAAUUGAAAGUCAAUUGUAACUUCUACCUUUCUUUCUUUUUCCUUUGUCUGUGAGAAUCAAUGUGCAGUGGCGAAGAUUGAAUGCCUUAAUGCAUCGAGUGGAUUCACUCGGGAUUUUGUGCAGGCUGACUGGAUUGGGUUGUACAGUGAGACCAACUUACUCUGUCAGAGGACCUCUGUCACUGUGGCACAUGGACACUAACCACAAACUUAUCAGAUUGUGUGUUUGGAAGCUGCAACAAACAAUCGUGCUGCAACUGCUUUUGCUGUCUUUAAAAGGGCUACUGACCAGCAUGGCAUACCCUCAAGGUAAGAGGCUUCAGUUAAUUGUUGCUUCUUGA
rnacentral:lncRNA from 1 species